UACGUAGGGUGCGAGCGUUGCCCGGAUUUAUUGGGCGUAAAGGGCGCGUAGGCGGCCUGGCGCGUCGGCUGUGAAAUCUCCCGGCUCAACUGGGAGGGGACGGCCGAUACGGCUGGGCUUGAGCGAGGUAGGGGAGAGUGGAAUUCCCGGUGUAGAGGUGAAAUUCGUAGAUAUUCGCAAGAACACCAGUGGCGAAGGCGGCUCACUGGCCCGAUACUGACGCUGAGGCACGAAAGCGUGGGGAGCAAACAGG
rnacentral:rRNA from 1 species